rnacentral:rRNA from 1 species
GACGAACGCUGGCGGCGUGCUUAACACAUGCAAGUCGAACGGAAAGGCCCUGCUCUUGUGGGGUGCUCGAGUGGCGAACGGGUGAGUAACACGUGUGUAACCUGCCCUUGACUUUGGGAUAACUUCAGGAAACUGGGGCUAAUACCGGAUAGGAGCUCCUGCUGUAUGGUGGGGGUUGGAAAGUUUCGGCGGUUGGGGAUGGACUCGCGGCUUAUCAGCUUGUUGGUGGGGUAGUGGCUUACCAAGGCUUUGACGGGUAGCCGGCCUGAGAGGGUGACCGGCCACAUUGGGACUGGGAUACGGCCCGAACUCCUACGGGAGGCAGCAGUGGGGAAUAUUGCACAAUGGGCGGAGGCCUAAUGCAGCAACGCCGCGUGCGGGAUGACGGCCUUCGGUUUGUAAACCGCUUUCGCCUGUGACGAAGCGUGAGUGACGGUAAUGGGUAAAGAAGCACCGGCUAACUACGUG